rnacentral:rRNA from 1 species
CUGGAGGUAUCAGAAGUGCGAAUGCUGACAUAAGUAACGAUAAAGCGGGUGAAAAGCCCGCUCGCCGGAAGACCAAGGGUUCCUGUCCAACGUUAAUCGGGGCAGGGUGAGUCGACCCCUAAGGCGAGGCCGAAAGGCGUAGUCGAUGGGAAACGGGUUAAUAUUCCCGUACUUGGUGUUACUGCGAAGGGGGGACGGAGAAGGCUAUGUUGGCCGGGCGACGGUUGUCCCGGUUUAAGCGUGUAGGUGUGUGUUCCAGGUAAAUCCGGUUCACUUUAACACUGAGGCGUGACGACGAGGCACUACGGUGCUGAAGCAACAAAUGCCCUGCUUCCAGGAAAAGCCUCUAAGCAUCAGGUAACAUCAAAUCGUACCCCAAACCGACACAGGUGGUCAGGUAGAGAAUACCAAGGCGCUUGAGAGAACUCGGGUGAAGGAACUAGGCAAAAUGGUGCCGUAACUUCGGGAGAAGGCACGCUGACAUGUAGGUGAAGUGAUUUACUCAUGGAGCUGAAGUCAGUCGAAGAUACCAGCUGGCUGCAACUGUUUAUUAAAAACACAGCACUGUGCAAACACGAAAGUGGACGUAUACGGUGUGACGCCUGCCCGGUGCCGGAAGGUUAAUUGAUGGGGUCAGCGCAAGCGAAGCUCCUGAUCGAAGCCCCGGUAAACGGCGGCCGUAACUAUAACGGUCCUAAGGUAGCGAAAUUCCUUGUCGGGUAAGUUCCGACCUGCACGAAUGGCGUAAUGAUGGCCAGGCUGUCUCCACCCGAGACUCAGUGAAAUUGAACUCGCUGUGAAGAUGCAGUGUACCCGCGGCAAGACGGAAAGACCCCGUGAACCUUUACUAUAGCUUGACACUGAACAUUGAGCCUUGAUGUGUAGGAUAGGUGGGAGGCUUUGAAGUGUGGACGCCAGUCUGCAUGGAGCCGACCUUGAAAUACCACCCUUUAAUGUUUGAUGUUCUAACGUGGACCCGUGAUCCGGGUUGCGGACAGUGUCUGGUGGGUAGUUUGACUGGGGCGGUCUCCUCCUAAAGAGUAACGGAGGAGCACGAAGGUUGGCUAAUCCUGGUCGGACAUCAGGAGGUUAGUGCAAUGGCAUAAGCCAGCUUGACUGCGAGCGUGACGGCGCGAGCAGGUGCGAAAGCAGGUCAUAGUGAUCCGGUGGUUCUGAAUGGAAGGGCCAUCGCUCAACGGAUAAAAGGUACUCCGGGGAUAACAGGCUGAUACCGCCCAAGAGUUCAUAUCGACGGCGGUGUUUGGCACCUCGAUGUCGGCUCAUCACAUCCUGGGGCUGAAGUAGGUCCCAAGGGUAUGGCUGUUCGCCAUUUAAAGUGGUACGCGAGCUGGGUUUAGAACGUCGUGAGACAGUUCGGUCCCUAUCUGCCGUGGGCGCUGGAGAACUGAGGGGGGCUGCUCCUAGUACGAGAGGACCGGAGUGGACGCAUCACUGGUGUUCGGGUUGUCAUGCCAAUGGCACUGCCCGGUAGCUAAAUGCGGAAGAGAUAAGUGCUGAAAGCAUCUAAGCACGAAACUUGCCCC